rnacentral:rRNA from 1 species
UCCGUAGGGAGCAAGCGUUGUUCGGAUUUACUGGGCGUAAAGGGCGCGUAGGCGGCGUGUCAAGUCGAUUGUGAAAUCUCCGGGCUUAACUCGGAACGGCCAAUCGAUACUGACGUGCUAGAGUGCAGAAAGGGCAAUCGGAAUUCUUGGUGUAGCGGUGAAAUGCGUAGAUAUCAAGAGGAACACCUGAGGCGAAGGCGGGUUGCUAGGCUGACACUGACGCUGAGUGCGCGAAAGCCAGGGGGGCAAACGGG